UCGUAUCAUCAUUUCUGUGCCUUGUUGAAUUUUGAUCUUAUCACGUUUUGAAAUUCCUACUCUCACCAUUUACAACAGGGAUCAUCAUCAUGUCUUUGUAACAAAAAAAAUAAAAAAUCAGGGCUGUGAUGUAUUAUUGAGAAGAAAGAACUAGGGUUUAAUUUUAAAUGGUGAGUAAUUUCAUGAUCAUCUGUUGUUUAAUUACCUUAAUUAUUUAUGCUUUUCUUAUGUAGGAAUUGCGUCUGGUAUGAAAAUCUCUUAUUAAAAGUAAUCUGGUAGCAUAGAAUAGUAUUGGGUCUCCAGUGACAGGGAAUUUGAAAGAAAUUUAGUAAUUAUUAGAUUUGAUAAAGGUUUUGCUGAAUGCUAGAAAGCAAACAUUAUUGAUAAGAAAAUGAGACAUCAAAAUAUGCUAUCCUGCAGAGUUGCAUCUAGUUAUCAUAUUCUACUGUGAGUUUCUAUUGAACUAUUGAUCUUUAUUUAUUUUGUUCCUUUGAGUUUACUGAUUGUCCGGAAUGAUUUGUGGCACUUGGAAUCAGGUCUUGCAGAUCCUGAUAAUUACCAUGAGUAUUGUCGUCUCCUUGGACGCUUCCGAGUGAAUUACCAGUUGUCAAAGCUCGUAAAUGUUGAAGGUUAUAGUGAUUGGAUUCGAUUAGUGGAAGAAUUCACUUUAAAGUCUUUGCAAUCUUGGCAGGUUCGUAUUAUCAGUGUUAACCGUUGCACAAAUUUCGUCAGCCAAAAGAGUAACACAUAAAGAUGGAAAAAACAAAGAGACAAGUAUUGCACACACUCACAUAAUAUUUCUGAUGAAGCUCGACAUGAGAUAUUACUUUGAUAGAUUAAAUUCUUCUUUCUUUUUGUUUAUUUUUGUUAAUAUUUUUAGUUUCUUUAUCUUUAAAAUAAAAUAAAAUUGAACCUCAUGUUACUAAAUUGAACCUCCCCAAAAAAUAAAAUUGGUCCUAUUUUGUACCAAAUGAUUUAUCUAUCUUUUUUCUUUCUUUUCUUGAUGUCUCCACUACUUGGGAGUUGGAAGUGGGAGUUGGGAGUGUGAUGUCCAUUUCAGGCCAAAUUUAGUAUUCUACUUUGCUUUUGCCAAGCUCUCGUGUUGUAAUUUAUUUUCAAAUUGUAUUCUCUUUACGAUGAUAA